rnacentral:rRNA from 1 species
CCUACGGGCGGCAGCAGUAGGGAAUUUUCGACAAUGGGCGCAAGCCUGAACGAGCAAUGCCGCGUGAACGAGGAAGGUCUUCGGAUCGUAAAGUACUGUUGGAGGGGAAAAAGAGCGGAGAGAGGAAAUGCUUUCUGAUUGAUAUUACCCUUCGAGGAAGCCACGGCUAACUACGUGCCAGCAGCCGCGGUAAUACGUAGGGGGCGAGCGUUAUCCGGAAUGAUUGGGCGUAAAGGGUGCGUAGGCGGCCUGCUAAGUCUGGAGGGAAAGGUACGGGCUCAACCGGUACAGGCCCUGGAAACUGGCGGGCUAGAGAGCAGGAGAGGGCGGUGGAACUCCAUGUGUAGCGGUAAAAUGCGUAGAGAUAUGGAAGAACACCAGUGGCGAAGGCGGCCGCCUGGCCUGUUACUGACGCUGAGGCACGAAAGCGUGGGGAGCAAAUAGGAUUAGAUACCCGAGUAGUC